AGUGAACGCUGGCGGUAGGCCUAACACAUGCAAGUCGAACGGCAGCACCGUAAGAGCUUGCUCUUACGGGUGGCGAGUGGCGGACGGGCGAGGAAUACAUCGGAAUCUACUUUUUCGUGGGGGAUAACGUAGGGAAACUUACGCUAAUACCGCAUACGACCUACGGGUGAAAGCAGGGGAUCUUCGGACCUUGCGCGAUUGAAUGAGCCGAUGUCGGAUUAGCUAGUUGGCGGGGUAAAGGCCCAACAAGGCGACGAUCCGUAGCUGGUCUGAGAGGAUGAUCAGCCACACUGGAGCUGAGACACGGUCCAGACUCCUACGGGAGGCAGCAGUGGGGAAUAUUGGACAAUGGGCGCAAGCCUGAUCCAGCCAUACCGCGUGGGUGAAGAAGGCCUUCGGGUUGUAAAGCCCUUUUGUUGGGAAAGAAAAGCAGCAGGUUAAUACCCCGCUGUUCUGACGGUACCCAAAGAAUAAGCACCGGCUAACUUCGUG
rnacentral:rRNA from 1 species